AGUGAACGCUGGCGGUAGGCCUAACACAUGCAAGUCGAACGGCAGCACAGUAAGAGCUUGCUCUUACGGGUGGCGAGUGGCGGACGGGUGAGGAAUACAUCGGAAUCUACUUUUUCGUGGGGGAUAACGUAGGGAAACUUACGCUAAUACAGCAUACGAUCUACGGGUGAAAGCAGGGGAUCUUCGGACCUUGCGCGAUUGAAUUAGCCGAUGUCGGAUUAGCUAGUUGGCGGGGUAAAGGCCCACCAAGGCGACGAUCCGUAGCUGGACUGAGAGGAUGAUCAGCCACACUGGAACUGAGACACGGUCCAGACUCCUACGGGAGGCAGCAGUGGGGAAUAUUGGACAAUGGGCGCAAGCCUGAUCCAGCCAUACCGCGUGGGUGAAGAAGGCCUUCGGGUUGUAAAGCCCUUUUGUUGGGAAAGAAAAGCAGCAGGUUAAUACCCCGCUGUUCUGACGGUACCCAAAGAAUAAGCACCGGCUAACUUCGUG
rnacentral:rRNA from 1 species